AUGAACGCUGGCGGCGUGCCUAAUACAUGCAAGUCGAGCGAACAGACGAGGAGCUUGCUCCUCUGACGUUAGCGGCGGACGGGUGAGUAACACGUGGAUAACCUACCUAUAAGACUGGGAUAACUUCGGGAAACCGGAGCUAAUACCGGAUAAUAUAUUGAACCGCAUGGUUCAAUAGUGAAAGACGGUUUUGCUGUCACUUAUAGAUGGAUCCGCGCCGCAUUAGCUAGUUGGUAAGGUAACGGCUUACCAAGGCAACGAUGCGUAGCCGACCUGAGAGGGUGAUCGACCACACUGGAACUGAGACACGGUCCAGACUCCUACGGGAGGCAGCAAUAGGGAAUCUUCCGCAAUGGGCGAAAGCCUGACGGAGCAACGCCGCGUGAGUGAUGAAGGUCUUCGGAUCGUAAAACUCUGUUAUUAGGGAAGAACAAAUGUGUAAGUAACUAUGCACGUCUUGACGGUACCUAAUCAGAAAGCCACGGCUAACUACGUG
rnacentral:rRNA from 1 species